rnacentral:piRNA from 1 species
UGGUGGUGAAAUGGACUGAUGAUU